UCAUCACGAAGUGGUGAAG
rnacentral:misc_RNA from 1 species